ensembl:antisense A630012P03Rik RIKEN cDNA A630012P03 gene
AGUCUCUCCGUGCCUAUUUAUGAAGGAAGUUCCCGAUGACCCUGCAACUCACAAUCAUUUCCCCCCACACACACACACAACAUCUGCUUGCUUAUUUUCUCUCAUUCAGAAGAAUCUGAGGCCAGUUGACCUGGCCUGGAGGCUGUAUCCAUAAUCAUUGCACUGCAUUGCAGAAGUGGGGAGCGAAGGGGAUGAAGAAGGGGAGACUCAGCUGUGCCUUUGCUGGUAUUCUAGCUGAGAACUGAUGGAGACUGGAACUGAAAUACAACAUCAGAUGAUGAAUGAGACAACUGAGCCUGGAAGACAACACGGAAGCCUGGAGACAGAGGUGGGAAGAAUCUCAUUGCAAUUGUCCUCCAAGACAUUGGAGUGGAAACUGAUGCAGUCUACUGGACCAAGAAGGAAAAGAGCCCCCUUGGGGAAGAGUGGCUGAUCUAAAUGUAAACAAGAGAUGUUUCUGGCUUACAAAUCUCCCUGUUGCUAGUAUUGCAGCAAAUCACAAAGAGGUGGGAAGCUGUAGCACACCAAAAGUGCACCAUCACCUUGAUCCCGCAGAUCCUGUGAAAAGGCUUUUCAGAAGCAACUGUCUCGACUCAUUCGAGACAAGCUCCCUUCCUCGUGCUCAGUUUUUGUCAGUGAUUCCUCUGAACUCUUCAGUAAGAGAAGCAGAGAGGUAAUCAGUGUGGGGCUACAAAAGGACAUGCUGAUUGAAAGAGUGUUCGUUCGCCUUGGACAAUCAUGGCUCUGUGCUCUCAGACCCAGUUGAAAGUGUUUAGAUAGCAUGGCUGGACCCCUUUUUCUCCUUUGGACCCCAGGGGAAGGCUAUCUAGCCCAGCAUGCCCAGAAGAACUUUUCUUCACCUUUUGCUCCUGGACUCCAGUUUGAAAGAAUUCGAGAAUUCCCAGCUGUAGCCAGCAGCUAUUAUCUUGCUGUAGCAGGGAGGAGAGUCUGGUUCCAUGGCUCCAAAAGCAGCAUAAAUCAAGAUUUCUGGGAGAGGGUUAAGAAAGGGUGUUCAACAGCUGCCGCCAUGGGAGGAGCGCAUACACAGCCAUGCACAUGGCCACACACACACACAUUAUUUGUCUUGGGCCCAGUUCCUUUGCCCCCCAGGUGUUGUUCUCCUUUUUCCAUCCCUCUCAGGUACACAGUGUCUUCUACUCUUAACCUCACUCUCGAACUUGCUGUCAGGGAAGAAGCUGACAAACUCAUCCUAUCUCAAUGUAUCUGGUUGAUAGGAUGUAAUGGGGGCUGCCCACCCAGGGGUAUAAGUAUUUCAACAGGGAUCAAAGCUUUAAACCAAAGGAACAGAGCUCUAAAAACUCUGGAAUUCCAGGCAUCCGCCAGUGGGAAGGGAGUGUUUAAACUGAGGGGCAAUGAGGCCUUUUUUGGUGCACCUGAAAUCACAUCAUGUAGACAGUUGCUUAUAUGUUAGGCUGCUUGCUGCUCACAGUCAACACCUCUUGUGCCACACCUCUGAGCUAGAUGGCACACAGCCACUUUGUCUCCUCUUCCCUUGCACUGUAUGAGUCCUUUGUGGGCCAGAGGGAAGGGGAGGCGCCAGGCACACUGAUUCCAAUUCUCCCAGAUGUAUAAGCUAUGAUCAGAGGAUGAAUUAUAGUCCUUUGGGAAAGAGUGUUCAUUCAUCCAUCGCAGCCAGCAGGCCAGUGCAAUGUAAAUGGUAACUUUGUAAGUUGAAAGACUUAAAGCCAUUUUGAAAAUUGCAUAAUAAUCUCAGGCAGAAUUUGGCUCCAUGUAUGUGGAAAAUUAAUAGAUGUGACUGGGAUGCUUGCAUUGUGAGUUGUGGAGGGCUAACCUCGCUUCAGACUUGAGACUAUGCUCUGCCCUCACUAAAUCCACAAAGUUUACUGAAAUUCUUAUAAGUCAGCAUCCAAGUUUUGAAAAUAAAAAAAAAAUAGAGAAUUAUUUUAUUUGGGACAUCAUGUUGAUUACUACAAAUAAAAAAAUAUUCUAUUGUGUUUUGUUUGC